AGCCAAGCUCUGAUAAAAGCGACCUGGAAAUGACAAAGAGGGUAUGGGGGAUGGGGGUGAGGGAACAAGUGGACCCUGGAAAUGCCAACAGCUAUGUAAUUUGUAGCUGUGUGAAAAUAAAAACCCAGACAGUGUCCAUUGGCAAGGACACGGGCCACUAAAGAAGCCACGUGAAGGAGGCUCCCAGCAUUCCCUACUCACGCUAGACUGCAAAGAAUCAUGAGCUCCAAUAAGGCGCUGAACGUUCUGAACAGCGGACAAGUCCCUGCGAUAUUCUUUUGAUGGCAAACACUCUGAAAACCCCAAGACAACAUCACAUACCCUGAAGACCAAGGCCUCUCUAAACUUGUGAUCCUUGGGACUCUGCCUAGUGCCUGGCACGGAGGAAGGGACACAGGCACUGGGCUCUCUGACAGAUGACUACCUGGUUUGCUUUGGGGCCACGCAAGGGUCAGCAACCUCACUGUAUCACUGAGGAGCCCAAGGAGAGGUGCACACAAACCUUGUCCCAAUAAAAAGAAACAAAAGACGUGGA
ensembl:antisense Gm20686 predicted gene 20686